UACGUAGGGUGCAAGCGUUAAUCGGAAUUACUGGGCGUAAAGCGCGUGUAGGCGGCUAAGUAAGUCGGGCGUGAAAUCCCACGGCUCAACCGUGGAAGUGCACUCGAAACUGCGUAGCUAGAGUCCUGGAGAGGAAGGUGGAAUGCUUGGUGUAGAGGUGAAAUUCGUAGAUAUCAAGCGGAACACCGGUGGCGAAGGCGGCCUUCUGGACAGUGACUGACGCUGAGACGCGAAAGCGUGGGGAGCAAACAGG
rnacentral:rRNA from 1 species